rnacentral:rRNA from 1 species
GAUGAACGCUGGCGGCGUGCCUAAUACAUGCAAGUCGAGCGAACAGACGAGGAGCUUGCUCCUCUGACGUUAGCGGCGGACGGGUGAGUAACACGUGGAUAACCUACCUAUAAGACUGGGAUAACUUCGGGAAACCGGAGCUAAUACCGGAUAAUAUAUUGAACCGCAUGGUUCAAUAGUGAAAGACGGUUUUGCUGUCACUUAUAGAUGGAUCCGCGCCGCAUUAGCUAGUUGGUAAGGUAACGGCUUACCAAGGCAACGAUGCGUAGCCAACCUGAGAGGGUGAUCGGCCACACUGGAACUGAGACACGGUCCAGACUCCUACGGGAGGCAGCAGUAGGGAAUCUUCCGCAAUGGGCGAAAGCUUGACGGAGCAACGCCGCGUGAGUGAUGAAGGUCUUCGGAUCGUAAAACUCUGUUAUUAGGGAAGAACAAAUGUGUAAGUAACUAUGCACGUCUUGACGGUACCUAAUCAGAAAGCCACGGCUAACUACGUG